rnacentral:rRNA from 1 species
ACAGCAGCCGCCGCGGGAAUACGUAGGGUGCAAGCGUUGUCCGGAAUCAUUGGGCGUAAAGCGCGCGUAGGUGGCCAUUUAAGUCCGCUGUGAAAGUCAAAGGCUCAACCUUUGAAAGCCGGUGGAUACUGGAUGGCUAGAGUACGGAAGAGGCGAGUGGAAUUCCUGGUGUAGCGGUGGAAUGCGCAGAUAUCAGGAGGAACACCAAUAGCGAAGGCAGCUCGCUGGGACGUUACUGACACUGAGGCGCGAAAGCGUGGGGAGCGAACAGGAUUAGAUACCCGUGUAGUCCCUGUCUCUUAUAC